GACGAACGCUGGCGGCGUGCCUAAUACAUGCAAGUCGAGCGCAGGAAACUGACGGAACUCUUCGGAGGGAAGGCAGUGGAAUGAGCGGCGGACGGGUGAGUAACACGUAAGGAACCUGCCUCAAGGAUUGGGAUAACUCCGAGAAAUCGGAGCUAAUACCGGAUAGUUCAACGGACCGCAUGGUCCGCUGAUGAAAGGCGCUUCGGCGUCACCUUGAGAUGGCCUUGCGGUGCAUUAGCUAGUUGGGGGGGUAACGGCCCACCAAGGCGACGAUGCAUAGCCGACCUGAGAGGGUAAUCGGCCACACUGGGACUGAGACACGGCCCAGACUCCUACGGGAGGCAGCAGGAGGGAAUCUUCCACAAUGGACGAAAGUCUGAUGGAGCAACGCCGCGUGAGUGAUGAAGGUUUUCGGAUCGUAAAACUCUGUUGUAAGGGAAGAACACGUACGAGAGGAAAUGCUCGUACCUUGACGGUACCUUACGAGAAAGCCACGGCUAACUACGUGCCAGCCGCCGCAGUAAAAC
rnacentral:rRNA from 1 species